CCUGGCUCUCUGGUCUCCCCCACCCCAGCUUUAUGGUCUUGGUCUCCUGGGGAAGCUGAAGAACUAAGGGCAGGAGUGGUUACGCUUGGCCUCCUGGUGUUGAGCGCCCUGUGGGAAGUCUACAGGUGGGGCCUCUGGAGUCCAGUGGGAAAAGCCAUCAACCAAGAACUAGAAAUUCUGUGUCAUGGUUGUGCCGUGCCUUCAGUAUGCAGUGUAGAACCAGGGGUCGUGUGUGCACAGUUCCUUCGGACACCCGAGCUACUCGGCUUCUUUCUCUCUGGCUUGGAACGGGCACCCCCGUGGAGCAGACCCAGGCUGGGGUGUCCUACAUUGUAAAUAAAACUGCUGCCCAGAAUAGUCCAGAACAUUCACAACCCGGGAAGCAGGGCAACAGGACUGACUGUGGCACCUUCCCCCCUGCCGCGCCCACCUCCCCCCACUCACAUGGGACUGGAUCCACCCUGAGGAGCCACGGUCAACAUCCUGCUUCCGGCAGGCCCUCCUGGAGGCCGCACAGAGGGGUGUUUGUUCGCAGUGGGCCGCGGGAGAGAUGCUAAUCAUGUUGGAUCUCUGGUCUGGGCUGAAGGUCAGGAGGUGCCCAGGGGCCAGAGGAAUUGGAUCUGCUAGGAGUUGGAGUUACAGAUGGCGGUGGGCCAGCUGAUGUGGUUGUUGAGAAUUGAACUCAAGUCUGAAGGAAAACAGUGUGUGCUCUUGACUGCUCGGCCAUCCCUCCAGCACCCCUGGGGCCUCUCCUCCCAUCUGAGCCCAGCCAGCAUGGGAACUCACUGGAUGCUCGCAAGAGCAUCUCCUUCCAUUCUUUCCUUCCAUUCCUAGCAUCAUGGCCAGAGCGAUUUUAUGAAGAUGUGAGUCACAUCAUGCCUGGGUCCCCUGUCCUUCUGAGGAAAAGCUGAAGUUUUGGUGAUGGCGUUUUACCCUAUCUGCCUGCCCCACCUCAUCUCCUACACUGAUCAUUUGGUUCAGCUGCUGGCUUUGUUCUCUGAUUACACAACCCAUGCCUCAGGACCUUUGCACUGGCUGUUUCCGCUUCUUGGAGCCUCCUUCCCCCAAGCAUCUCCAUGCUUUGCUCCUCGCCUUCCUCACAUCUUCAUCCGGGUUCUGCCUUAUCCAGGAGCCUUCCUCCAUGACCUCCGUGUUGAAAACUGAAGAUCACUCCCUGUGCCCAGAUCUUGCUUUCUAAUACCAUCCUGUAAUGAAGGGACCCAUGGCUUCUUGGAUAGGGUGGGAAAUACGCAGGAUGACGCUGGACUAUCUCAAAGCAUCCCAAAGGAAGUACUGGAGACAAGAGCCACCCAAAUGUGGGUGUGACCGACAUCGCUGGAGCAGCUGCACGGCACAGCAAACAGGGCUGGAUGAUAGCCCAGCGGCAAAACACAUUCACCAGCCUGUGAUAGAUAAAUAAAUAAAGCAGUCAGUGGAAGAGAAGAAGAGAAGAGCUGAGGCGCCGUGGGGUGUCAGGAGCUCCUCAGCAGAGGCCUUGCAGUGUACACCAGCCAGGGUUGAGGUCAUCAGCAGCGUAGUCAGGUUAGUAGUGUGGACCCGUGUAAAGAGAAGGGCACUGCGCCUUUGUCACCUGGCUUUCCAGUGCUCAGAACUUGGGUUUAGUCAUGUGAGGAACCAGCAGACAAAUUUUUAUUUUAUUUUAUUUUGUUUUACUUUAUUUAUUUUUGUAUUUUGAGACAGGACUUUAUGUAGCCCUGGCUGGCUUUGAACUCACUGUAUAUAACUGAGGGUGACGUUAAACUCCUGAUUUUCCAGCCCCCACCUCUGAAAUGUUGGGGUUAUGGAGGUGUUACUACCAUACCCAGCUCUCAGCAGGCAAAUUCUGAUUUAAGGACAUCUACAAAAUACCUGACCAGGACCCCUUCAAACCACUAGAGUCAACAAAAAACACGGGAUGUGUGAGGGGUGCUGUGGCCAAGAGAAGCUUCUAGAGGGAAGACAAUGAGCUGGAAUGUGAAAUGUGAAGGGCUCCUGGGACAGAAAGGGCUUAGAGGAACAAAGGAAGUCUGGUGAAACAACUGCCGAAGUUUCUACGGAUAAUAAUUACCAUGGGGUGUGGUGAUACUGCAACCCUAACACUCGGGAGGCUGAGGCUGAAGGAUGGUGAGUUUGAGAUCAGCUUGGGCUCCAUAGACUCUGGCUCAAAAAAAAAAAAAAAAAAUCAUUCAUGGCAGUAAAUGCAAGAUGUCACUGACAGAGAAAGUGAUGGGGAAGGGACAUCAAACUGAGCAAAGCUGAGCACACAAGUGAUCCAGCACUCAAGAGGCAUAAGCCAGGAGAUCAUGAGUUUGAGGCCAGCCUGGGCUAUGCAGUGAGAGCCCUUCUCAACGUAAAUAAAUAAAUAAGAGGCAGCUGGAUGACUCGGCAAAGCAUUAUGACAGCCUGACAGACUGAGUUCCUUCCCUGGAGCCCACCUAAAGCUGCAGGGAGAGACUGAACUCAACAGAGUUGCUCUCUGACCCCUCACAGGCAACCCAAGGAGUGGGCAUGUUCCCUGCGCAGCACGCGCACGCACAGUGCUCAUGAUCCAGAAAGCAACCAUUGUAGAAGCAGGUAAAAAAUAAAAUAAAAUAAAAAACCAGAAAGAAAAUAACCUCACCCAAGCUGCCAUGCCCCUCCCUGGCUUUUCCUGCUCAGACCUUUCACCGUUUACUCUGCCGUACAUUGACCUCACAGAUUCUAGGACCCGUCACCCCUCUUUGAGUCCAGGAUUUAAAGUGUCUAAAGGUGUCUGCCUGUCCACUGCUUGUGCCCAGAACUUCGGUCUGACAGUAAAUAUUUGUUGAAUGACAAAUUUCCACAGAUCGUCUGUUAAGCUUUUCCAAGUGCCCCCUGUGCCUGAAUACAUUUUCUUUUGUUGCCAAAUAAACAGAAGAUUAUGUAUGUGCA